GUUCCGGUUCCGGUGUCGGCUGCAGUUCAGUUGCUAUGGCAACGCGGUUGGCGGGCGGAUGGUUCGGAUAGCCCGCAAAGUGGUGGGACUGGGGCGGGCUGGCGUCCGCGUAUCCCAGCCUAGGCGUUCGACGUUCUUACUGCGGUAUCGUCAGUGCCUAGGACAGUGCUUGGAAUGUGAUUCAUUGAUUUCAGGCAAAUCAGAGGGACAAGCAUCAUGAACAGAAAUGUAUAGAAAUGCUGUUAUGCUGAAGCAUAAGUUUUAGAAGUCCAGCAUCUGGUGUACUUAAUGAUAGAGAAUAUACCUAUUAAA